CGGGGGGCUCGCUAUAACGCCGCGAGCUGAGAUGAGAGGGGCAAACCUCUCGACCCGAAGAACCUGAUCCGGGUAAUGCCGGCGUAGGGA
rnacentral:ncRNA from 2 species